rnacentral:tRNA from 1 species
GAGGUUGUGGCUCAGUGGUAGAGUGCUCGCCUAGCACAUGUGAGGCACUGGGUUCAAACCUCAGUACCACA